GAUGAACGCUAGCUACAGGCUUAACACACGCAAGUCGAGGGGUAACAAGAGAAAAGCUUGCUUUUCUUGUUGACGACCGGCGCACGGGUGAGUAACGCGUAUCCAACCUGCCUAUAACUAGGGGAUAACCUUGCGAAAGUAAGACUAAUACCCUAUGAUUUCCUUUGAUGACAUCAGUUUAGGAAUAAAGAUUUAUCGGUUAUAGAUGGGGAUGCGUCUGAUUAGCUUGUUUGCGGGGUAACGGCCCACCAAGGCAACGAUCAGUAUGGGUUCUGAGAGGAAGGUCCCCCGCAUUGGAACUGAGACACGGUCCAAACUCCUACGGGACGCAGCAGUGAGGAAUAUUGGUCAAUGGGCGGAAGCCUGAACCAGCCAAGUAGCGUGCAGGAUGACGGCCCUAUGGGUUGUAAACUGCUUUUAUACAGGAAUAAAGUUAGCCACGUGUGGUUAUUUGUAGGUACUGUAUGAAUAAGGACCGGCUAAUUCCGUGCCAGCCGCCGCGGUAA
rnacentral:rRNA from 1 species